GACAGCCAGGAUGUUGGCUUAGAAGCAGCCAUCAUUUAAAGAAAGCGUAAUAGCUCACUGGUCGAGUCGGCCUGCGCGGAAGAUGUAACGGGGCUAAACCAUGCACCGAAGCUGCGGCAGCGACGCUGAUGCGUUGUUGGGUAGGGGAGCGUUCUGUAAGCCUGCGAAGGUGUGCUGUGAGGCAUGCUGGAGGUAUCAGAAGUGCGAAUGCUGACAUAAGUAACGAUAAAGCGGGUGAAAAGCCCGCUCGCCGGAAGACCAAGGGUUCCUGUCCAACGUUAAUCGGGGCAGGGUGAGUCGACCCCUAAGGCGAGGCCGAAAGGCGUAGUCGAUGGGAAACAGGUUAAUAUUCCUGUACUUGGUGUUACUGCGAAGGGGGGACGGAGAAGGCUAUGUUGGCCGGGCGACGGUUGUCCCGGUUUAAGCGUGUAGGCUGGUUUUCCAGGCAAAUCCGGAAAAUCAAGGCUGAGGCGUGAUGACGAGGCACUACGGUGCUGAAGCAACAAAUGCCCUGCUUCCAGGAAAAGCCUCUAAGCAUCAGGUAACAUCAAAUCGUACCCCAAACCGACACAGGUGGUCAGGUAGAGAAUACCAAGGCGCUUGAGAGAACUCGGGUGAAGGAACUAGGCAAAAUGGUGCCGUAACUUCGGGAGAAGGCACGCUGAUAUGUAGGUGAAG
rnacentral:rRNA from 1 species